AUUGAACGCUGGCGGCAUGCUUUACACAUGCAAGUCGAACGGCAGCACGGGCUUCGGCCUGGUGGCGAGUGGCGAACGGGUGAGUAAUGCAUCGGAACGUGCCCAUUUGUGGGGGAUAACUACGCGAAAGCGUGGCUAAUACCGCAUACGCCCUGAGGGGGAAAGCGGGGGAUUCUUCGGAACCUCGCGCAAUUGGAGCGGCCGAUGUCAGAUUAGCUUGUUGGUGAGGUAAAGGCUCACCAAGGCGACGAUCUGUAGCGGGUCUGAGAGGAUGAUCCGCCACACUGGAACUGAGACACGGUCCAGACUCCUACGGGAGGCAGCAGUGGGGAAUUUUGGACAAUGGGCGCAAGCCUGAUCCAGCCAUGCCGCGUGAGUGAAGAAGGCCUCGGUUGUAAGUACGUCUUUCUAG
rnacentral:rRNA from 1 species